CAGGAGCUGUCGGUGGAAAUUACACUCAAAUACGGUAAAUAUAAACGAGAGUUUCUUUGCAAAAGUGCAGUGAAAGGCUUCGGUGAAAUACUGCAGCCACUGGAAAUAAGAGGCAUGAAUUUAAAUGACUUUGUGGUUCCUAACAACAAGACCGGAUCUGUCAAGCACAAUGCCAGGAACCUGCAAAAACUGCUACUGGAUACAACGACUGUGGCCAAUGAGAGCAAGAAAAUGGAAGAGAAGCUGGAACAGUUAAAAGAAAACAUGAGUAAAGAGAAGCAGGAGAGAGG